CGCAGGGAGCUGGCAUUUCUUACGUUGUUUUUCCAUACAAGCGAGCCCUCGCAAGGGGAGGUCACCAAGGACUUAUUGAAGCAAAAUCAUUUGUCUCCUUAGACGACAGCUCCCGCUACGGAUUCUGCUCCGUUCUCGAAGUGGAAGACUAUCUGAUGAAGAGAGUCAGUGCUACUGGAAGGAACACGCACCACACAGCCCACUGCACUAUGCCAUAAAUCAGCUCGGUGCCAAAUCCCACCCGACGAGAUGAGUUACGGGAUCGUUAGAGGGGAACAUCUGAAGAUAAACAGAAUCUUGUCUUGUGGGGCCAGCUUCUCAGGCUGUUUGCUCCUAACCAAGAGCCCUGCGGUUUCAGCACAUCCCCUCUUUGCCAGCGUCAGGAUGGGUGGAGGAAUACGACAACUAAUGUGGUUAGCAGCAGUGAUAGCAGCCGAUCUGAGCCACAUGUUUUGUAACAUCUACGAGAAGAUUCGUUUCCUCAUUUUGCUUUAGCAGUCAAGGUGCUACGUCGUGCUAGCAGAAAGCAAUGCCCUGAAUGAUGGGUGCCAGCCCACAUGCAGCAGCAGCGAUAGAUGUUGACAAUAAAUUAAAUAACAAGAUCUGCUGAGAAUAAUGUCUUAAGAAAUACCAGGGCUUACUUUUUAUGCCUUUCCUAGAUGCACUGAGGUUAUUUAAGGCCAAACUCCCACUCCUUACAGUGCAAUUAAGAUUAUUCCUUGUAUGGAACAUAAGGCAAUGUAAACAUGGUCAUUUGUGCAUCACUGGUAUUUGCAGUCAUGCUUUGAGUAUUGUCCAGCCCCGAAUGUGUGUCCACCUCCCAGAGCCUUGUGGCAGUCUUCAGAGGGCAUUAAGCAUUGGCAGUACACCACCACAGGAGGCAUCUCUGCAGAGAACCAUGGACCCUGUCUCCAUAGAAAGGCACCUACUAUAGUGGCACCAACAGACCAGCUCCUCAGCAGCCAUUCAGCCAGCUGGAUGCUGGUACAGAGAAGAUGAGAACAAGAAGAAAGUACAGGAGAAGGACUCACUGACAAAGUUUUCACCCACAAAUGGCCCAAGCAAAGAGGCUGCAGGUCUGCGGAGCACAGCUGCUGCAACCACUUCCCUCAAGUGCAGGUGCUGCCAAGCUUGGGUUUGAUGUCUGGCUAGGCAAGGCAGGGCCCCCAGCCUCCCAGGAGUGAGGAGGGAAAGGAGCAGCUGUUCUGCAGCCCUGAGGUCCUGAGAGACAGGACACGGACCCCUCAGUACACAGUUGGCCUGUGCCUCCAGUCCCACUGUUCAGAUGACCCCUGCAAGAACCCUUUUGUAGUCUCACCUUAAGAAAUACAACAAAAUGGCAAAGCUGCUUAAAAAAAAAAUAAAACAGUUUUAAGCGCAUCCAGCUUUGGGAUAGAGAAUAAAAUUUCUUGCCAGAGAAUUUAAAACAAACUGGAAACUGAUCAUCUACUCAUUUAAAUGAUGUGCCUGGAGCUAAACCAGCAAUGCUGAAUAAUCUGUGUUCCUUUCAUCCUUCUUCAACUUUUUCUUUGUUCCACCAGCCACGUGUGCACUAAGUGUAAAUUGAAGGGCUCUUAGCUGGAAAAGCAGAUUGUGAAAAGGGCUUAGCCCUCAUCUUAUAAUUCAGCUUUCAUAUUACAAUUACUCUUAAUAGCACUCUUAUUUUGUUGUAUUAUUUAUCCUGGCUAGAACCCUCUAAGAUCCCUUGAAGGCUUUUUUUCCUGGUGGAUCUAGCCAACAUCCACUCAUGAAUCCAGAUGUUUCUGCUUUUAUCCACGGGAAUUUUAUGGUAUGGAUAUGCCAAGAUUAUAACUUCAGGCUCAGCCUCAAGAACAGUAUUCUUCAAAUUCCCUAAAUCAUAAAUGGAAAGUGCCAUGAAUAAACCUAGAUCCUCAUGCAAUUAGUGUGCCAGAAGGGAAAGCAAACCACAGGACACUAUUGCUCAAGGUCCUGGAUCGGUGUCGAUACUCUGCUACGUUGCACCAGAAGUCACAGCCCAGAUCGUGCUGUUUGCUGCGUUCUCGUAGACAAACUCUUGCUUUUAGCACAUCUUCAGUUCUUCUUUCCAUUCACCACCCUGAAACGAGGAGCUAAGAUACAUGUGGGUCCAAGAUGCUUACUCUGUAAAAAAGAUCACUCACUGGAAGCUAGAGUCGCUGCUAGUGCGUUUAAAUGAAUGAAAGCGUGCCUGUUUAUGUCUGCUCAUAAAAAAAAAAAAAAAAAAAUGCAGACACUCUUCCCCAGUCAGAAUUGGUUCUGAAAUAAAGGCAGGGAUGAUACAUACCCUGCCCUGAUGGUGAGUAAGGCAAGUCUCUGCUGUGCCUUUGACGGCACUUUGGAUGAAUAACUGAACCCAAAUACGAUC